UACGUAGGGUGCAAGCGUUAAUCGGAAUUACUGGGCGUAAAGCGCACGCAGGUGGCUGAGUCAGUCGAUUGUGAAAGCCCUGGGCUUAACCUGGGAAUUGCAGUCGAUACUACUUAGCUAGAGUAUGGGAGAGGGCAGUGGAAUUCCCGGUGUAGCGGUGAAAUGCGUAGAUAUCAGGAGGAACACCAAUGGCGAAGGCAGCUCGCUGGAACGGUACUGACGCUGAGGCGCGAAAGCGUGGGGAGCGAACAGG
rnacentral:rRNA from 1 species